rnacentral:rRNA from 1 species
GUCCACGCCGUAAACGAUGGAUACUAGCUGUUGGGCGCAAGCUCAGUGGCUAAGCGAAAGUGAUAAGUAUCCCACCUGGGGAGUACGAACGCAAGUUUGAAACUCAAAGGAAUUGACGGGGGCCCGCACAAGCGGUGGAGCAUGUGGUUUAAUUCGAUGAUACGCGAGGAACCUUACCAAGGCUUAAAUGUAGAUUGACAGGUUUGGAAACAGACUUUUCUUCGGACAAUUUACAAGGUGCUGCAUGGUUGUCGU